rnacentral:sRNA from 1 species
UUUUGAAUAUGGUUGACUUUGCUGUUGGAUAAUAUUUGACUUUGAAUAACUUGACACUAUAAGGAAAUAUCCAAAAACUUAAUUUUACAAAUGCAUAGAGAAACUACAUAAGAACAAUGAUGACGCAACUGCAAGACAAGACUGCUAGAUGGCUGAUUUUUCUGAGCUGUAUACAUCUGCUAUUGAUGGCAGACACGAUCGCUGGUACAUCAACGACUGAUGAAACUAGCACAG